AGGCGUAUGUGCAACUGAACCUUCAAGUAGAGACAUAAGAUGAUUUUUAACUUUGAUUAGAAGCUUUUCAAGAUAAUCUCUUCCUGUUUUGUCCUCUGGCAAGAGCUCCCCUUCCUUCAUUUGGUCACAGAGUGGUUUUCUUUUAAAAGAACUAUUCAGCUUUUGGAAAACCGACAAGAAGAAACUGAGAGAAUUCACACACCACAGAAAACUGGGUACACAGCUGCUACUAAACUUCAUUGUCCUUUUAUCUCCAGCCUCUCCACCAACAGAAAGACACAGAAGGAAAGAGAAAGAGAGACAGAGAAUGAAUCUGAAGUCUGAAACCUUGUAGUUCGUUUGAACCAGUCAGUUCUUGUUCAGAAAGGAAGAGGAAGGGCAGGAGUGGCUAUUGGCGCCAGAGGGAGGGUUAGUGACUCAGUCCUACCCUCCUAACAGAUUAAACACCAAGGAACACAAGCCUUGGAACCAGACCUGGCUCUGACCCUCUGCCCCGCCCCUUGUAGUGUGACAGGGAAGCUCCAGUUCCCUUAUCAUACCUCAAUUUUAUCCAUAAAGUGGCGACAUGAGGAAAAUGCCCAGCAUUUAAGUUUCACUCUUAUUGCCCAGGCUGGAGUGCAAUGGCACAAUCUCGGCUCACCACAACCUCCGUCUCCCGGGUUCAAGUGAUUCUCCUGCUCCAGGCUCUCAAGUAGCUGAGAUUACAGACUAACGAUCUUCUGUUGGUCCCUUCUGGUAGGGCCGAGGAGACCCCAGCAUCACGAAUUAAUUUGGGAUUACAGCCAAGCAAGUUUAAUGUUUCGAAAUAUCAUACACAAUGCAGCUGAGCGCCAAUUUUAUUCCCUGGGUUAGUACUAAUCAGCAAAAUGUACGUAAGGGCCUCAAGAACAGACUGCCCUGAACGUUCCUGUGUGUUGCUCCAGGUCAGUGGGUCUUCCUGCUCUCAUCCUACGCCCACCCACACCCCUCCUGUCCAUGCCACUGGCUUUCAGCAUGUCUUCUCUCCAUGACUCUAACAGCUUCAUAACUGGCUAGUUUGCCUCCCAACAACUCACCCUGCCUUCUGCUGCCAGAAUAUAUUUUCUACAAAAGCAGAGCUGAUUAGGCCAUUUUCCUGCUUACAGGCUUUUGUUGCUCCCCAUGGCUUCCAGGGUGCAGUUCAAAUGUUUAUAGGUACCACACAAGACCCUUCCUGGUUUUCCCCUGCCAAUCUCCUAGCCUCAUUACCUGUUGCUCAUCUGCCUGCCACACAUAAAGACUUGCUAAUUCCCAAACACAUCAUACUGUUGCAUAUUUCCAUGAGUCUGUACUUGCUGUUCCCUUGAACUAAAAUGCCCUUUCCUCCCUUCAUUCAGGUACCACCUACUCAUCCUCCAAUAUCCAGCUGGCACCUCCUCUGGGAAGACUUCCUGGAUAUUUCAGGUUGAUUUAGCAGCAUGCUAUGUGUAUCACACUGAAAUGGCCUACAUCCAGAAGCUGACACAUGGUAAAGAAUUAAAAGUUUCUUGAAAGAAUGCAUUAAUGCAACUUAUUUUCUGCUUCUAUUGUUUUUCUUGUAGUAUACCAACUAGGACACUUUUUGAAGAAACUGCAAUUCUUCUCAGCAUUCAAUUCUGUCCAGUGGCAAAGGUGAUCAGGAGAUUCAAAGUAGUAAAAAUAAUCCCCAAAGUAGUGCUACCACUAGGCCCUGGAAACCAACCUCACAUACUAAAGACAGACUGAAGAUCUGCAUUGAGCUAAGCCCUAAUUAUGUUCAGUGUUCUUAACUUUGAAUCUAGACUCCCAGGCUUUGUACUAUGCCGUAACCAAUUGGGCAACUAAAUGAUGACCGGUACAGCACAGCUGCUAAGAUCACAGACUAAUCCAAACUGCCCGGGUCUGUACCUUGCUUCAGCCACUGUCUAGCUGUGUGUCUUGGGCAAGUUAGUUAAUCCCUUUAUGCCUCAGUUUGCUUAUCUGUAAGAUGGGAACAAUAUUAACAGUACUGACCUCAUAGAAUAAAUGAUUUCACAUACGUGAAUGGUUACAACAGUGCUUUGCACAAAUUAAGUACUACUUAACCAGCUAUUUUUUGUAUUUCUUCUAUUAACUGGCAAACACAGAGAGAGAGGAAUAUCUAAGAAGCAAAUCAGAGGUAAUUUCAGGGUGUCUCUUUGCUGUGUGGAGACACUCCUGGCUCUCCUAGUGCCCACUUAAUUAAUUCACAGAUCAGAAUUGCAAGACCUAUGUCUAAUAUUGCCAGGGGUCUGCAGAAGAGACAUUGUCCUCCUUCCAGCUGGCUCCUCCAACACAGCCAAAGCAACAUGGGUUGUUCAUUCCUUACACAUCAACUAUAGCUGUGGGAACAAUGAGUUCUGCCUUUUUUUCCCUGUCCACUGCUUUCAUAUUUAAGGUUGCUCCUGUGUCAGUAGUGAUUAUCUCAGAAGAUCUCCCUGUAUAUAAGGCCCCAUGAACAAGAAAAUUUUGUAUCAAUUAACAAGAGACAAGCUUAGGGGAAGAAGUGCUUCCUGAACAUCACCUGCAGACUAGACUAUAGCACUCUUGUGGGAUCCCAACAAAUACGUCGUCCACCCCGCUCCCAACUAUUUAAAGAAUAUUUGAAAGCACUCGAAUUCUUUGGCAUAAACACUCUUUGAAAUGCAAGUUAUGUCGAAUCCUAGAAUUUUACUUCUGGAAGAUGUGGUGGGAGAUUAUAUAAAAUGGGGAAUCAGUGACCCAGCACCAUGGCUUCCCAGCUCCUCUGCACGCCCCCCCAUAUUUCCCAACCCUUGCAUUUGAAAUUUAAAAUGUUCUUUAAAAAAUUAAAGGCUUUCAGUGUUGAGUGAUAGUCACGCACUGCAUAAGGAUAUUUCAGUCAACAAUGGACCAAAUAUAUGACAGUAGUCGCGUAAGAUUAUAAUGAAGCUGAAAAAUUCCUACAGCCUAAUGAUGUCACAGCUGUCAUGUCAUAGCAUUUUUUUUAAAUAUAGUGUAGCCUAAGUUUAUAAUAUUUAUAAAGUCUACAAUAGUGUAACGUCCUAGGCCUUCACAUUCACUCACCACUCACUGACUCACCCAGAGCAACUUCUAGUCCCACAAGCUCCAUGCA
rnacentral:lncRNA from 1 species